rnacentral:rRNA from 1 species
GACGAACGCUGGCGGCGUGCUUAACACAUGCAAGUCGAACGGAAAGGCCCUGCUUUUGUGGGGUGCUCGAGUGGCGAACGGGUGAGUAACACGUGAGUAACCUGCCCUUGACUUUGGGAUAACUUCAGGAAACUGGGGCUAAUACCGGAUAGGAGCUCCUGCUGCAUGGUGGGGGUUGGAGAGUUUCGGCGGUUGGGGAUGGACUCGCGGCUUAUCAGCUUGUUGGUGGGGUAGUGGCUUACCAAGGCUUUGACGGGUAGCCGGCCUGAGAGGGUGACCGGCCACAUUGGGACUGAGAUACGGCCCAGACUCCUACGGGAGGCAGCAGUGGGGAAUAUUGCACAAUGGGCGGAAGCCUGAUGCAGCAACGCCGCGUGCGGGAUGACGGCCUUCGGGUUGUAUACCGCUUUCGCCUGUGACGAAGCGUGAGUGACGGUAAUGGGUAAAGAAGCACCGGCUAACUACGUG